UUUAGGGCAGUGCCACCGAGCCUUGAGUCUCUUACAGCUGUUGGCUCAAUGAUGAUGAAGGCUGGUGGGGUUGCUCUCUGAGUUGGGCCUUUCCAGUUGGCCAAGGGCACACUGGGAACAGGAGCACGUCUGUUAGGACUGGAGUGAUGGUGAACUAUGCCUGGGUAGAAUGAAGCCUGAGGGAUCUCUGGUGGAGUUCCACAGAGGUCCUUCACAGAUCCUUCUUCUGACCCAGGUAUAGGGGAGAAAGACUCAGCCAGCCAGUAGCUAG
rnacentral:ncRNA from 1 species